rnacentral:rRNA from 1 species
GAUGAACGCUGACCGAAUGCUUAACACAUGCAAGUCAACUUGAAUUUGGGUUUUUAACUUAGGUUUGGGUGGCGGACGGGUGAGUAACGCGUAAAGAACUUGCCUCACAGCUAGGGACAACAUUUGGAAACGAAUGCUAAUACCUAAUAUUAUGAUAAUAGGGCAUCCUAUAAUUAUGAAAGCUAUAAGCGCUGUGAGAGAGCUUUGCGUCCCAUUAGCUAGUUGGAGAGGUAACGGCUCACCAAGGCGAUGAUGGGUAGCCGGCCUGAGAGGGUGAUCGGCCACAAGGGGACUGAGACACGGCCCUUACUCCUACGGGAGGCAGCAGUGGGGAAUAUUGGACAAUGGACCGAGAGUCUGAUCCAGCAAUUCUGUGUGCACGAUGAAGUUUUUCGGAAUGUAAAGUGCUUUCAGUUGGGAAGAAACAAAUGACGGUACCAACAGAAGAAGUGACGGCUAAAUACGUG